AGGUUGACCUCGGAUCAGGUAGGGAUACCCGCUGAACUUAAGCAUAUCAAUAAGCGRGARGAAGU
rnacentral:rRNA from 1 species